UACGUAGGGGGCAAGCGUUGUCCGGAUUUAUUGGGCGUAAAGAGCGUGUAGGCGGCCAGGUAGGUCCGAUGUGAAAACUGGAGGCUCAACCUCCAGCUGUCAUUGGAAACCAUCUGGCUAGAGUCCGGAAGUGGAGAGUGGAAUUCCUGGUGUAGCGGUGAAAUGCGCAGAUAUCAGGAAGAACACCGAUGGCGAAGGCAGCUCUCUGGGACGGUACUGACGCUGAGACGCGAAAGCGUGGGGAGCGAACAGG
rnacentral:rRNA from 1 species